GCGGGAUGCCACACUGGCAAUCCAUAUGUCUGCGAUUGGACGGUCCGUAUUUGUUCCCACGUGUGUGGACAGUCCGGUUCCGUUCCUCCCUCAGGCGCGAAUCGAACGGUCGCAAUUAAGCAUGAUUAAUAAUUCAUACUCGUUCCCUCUUUAAACGCGAUCGUACGGUUCAGAUCAAAUCGUGAUAAACGAUCCAGAUUAAAGAAAGACG
rnacentral:lncRNA from 1 species